ensembl:lncRNA
GCAGCAGCGCUGCAGCAAUUUUGGAUGCCUGGGAAAUGGGAGAGAGGUAGAGGGGGUGGGGAAGUUAAGCGAAUCCCCAUGCGUAAGAGAGUUGUCCAACUUUUGUCAAGAGAUUAAAGUAACGGCUUAGGUAUUUUACGGUCUUGUGUUCGGCAUUAGGUCGCUUGCUCUGAAAAGAUUCUGGAGUAUUUUCAAAUGUCUUGAUUGCACCGAUUAGUCCCUUAGCCUUUGACGAAGUCUUCUGGGCAAGACUCCCACUGUGAGGAAAGCCACACAGGCAUCAGAGACAUGACAGGCUCUCUCCUAGCCCUAUAGGGAGGAAAAGACGCAGACAUCCAUGGUUGUCACGGUUACAUAACCCCAGUCCUGGCGAACUCUUAAGCAUUCUUAAGGGUCAGUCCCAGCAUUCCCUGCUUUCCCGGCAUGAUAUACGAGUUUGGAUCCAUCUCAUAGAACCACUAAUCCGGUUCUUUGUGCUAUCUUCCAUGACUUUUAAAUCAAAUGUGACGGCAAUAACAAGACAUAUGGCCAUCUUUCAUUUCCAGCUCUAAGCUGUGCUGACUGCAGUGAGGUUCCAUCCAUGAACAUGGCAGAGUUAGGGCGUGGAGGAGCUCCUUCACCAGACUGGACCUGGAUCUGUUCUGGCACACUUUCAAACCAAAACUACAGGUCAUUAAGACAUAAGGGAUU